UACGUAGGUGGCAAGCGUUGUCCGGAUUUAUUGGGUUUAAAGGGUGCGUAGGCGGCUUUGUAAGUCAGUGGUGAAAUAUGGCAGCUCAACUGUCAGGGUGCCAUUGAUACUGCGGAGCUUGAGUACAGAUGGGGUAGGCGGAAUUGACGGUGUAGCGGUGAAAUGCUUAGAUAUCGUCAAGAACACCGAUAGCGAAGGCAGCUUACUAGGCUGUAACUGACGCUGAGGCACGAAAGUGUGGGGAUCAAACAGG
rnacentral:rRNA from 1 species